rnacentral:rRNA from 1 species
UGCCCUAUACAUGCAGUCGAGCGAAUGACGAGGAGCUUGCUCCUCUGAUUUAGCGGCGGACGGGUGAGUAACACGUGGGCAACCUGCCCUGUAGACUGGGAUAACUUCGGGAAACCGGAGCUAAUACCGGAUAAUCCAUUUCACCUCAUGGUGAAAUGUUGAAAGGCGCUUUCGGGCGUCACUACAGGAUGGGCCCGCGGUGCAUUAGCUAGUUGGUGGGGUAACGGCCUACCAAGGCGACGAUGCAUAGCCGACCUGAGAGGGUGAUCGGCCACAUUGGGACUGAGACACGGCCCAAACUCCUACGGGAGGCAGCAGUAGGGAAUCUUCCACAAUGGACGAAAGUCUGAUGGAGCAACGCCGCGUGAGUGAUGAAGGUUUUCGGAUCGUAAAACUCUGUUGUAAGGGAAGAACAAGUACGUUAGGAAAUGAACGUACCUUGACGGUACCUUAUUAGAAAGCCACGGCUAACUACGUGCCAGCAGCCGCGGUAAUACGUAGGUGGCAAGCGUUGUCCGGAUUUAUUGGGCGUAAAGCGCGCGCAGGCGGUUUCUUAAGUCUGAUGUGAAAGCCCACGGCUUAACCGUGGAGGGUCAUUGGAAACUGGGAGACUUGAGUGCAGAAGAGGAAAGUGGAAUUCCAAGUGUAGCGGUGAAAUGCGUAGAGAUUUGGAGGAACACCAGUGGCGAAGGCGACUUUCUGGUCUGCAACUGACGCUGAGGCGCGAAAGCAUGGGGAGCAAACAGGAUUAGAUACCCUGGUAGUCCAUGCCGUAAACGAUGAGUGCUAAGUGUUAGGGG